GACAGAGGGUGCGAGCGUUGUUCGGAAUUACUGGGCGUAAAGCGCAUGUAGGCGGCAGCGCAAGUCGGGCGUGAAAUCCCACGGCUCAACCGUGGAAGUGCACUCGAAACUGCGCAGCUAGAGUACUGGAGAGGUUGGUGGAAUUCUCGGUGUAGAGGUGAAAUUCGUAGAUAUCGAGAGGAACACCGGUGGCGAAGGCGGCCAACUGGACAGAUACUGACGCUGAGACUCGAAAGCGUGGGGAGCAAACAGG
rnacentral:rRNA from 1 species